ensembl:lncRNA
UGAUAUUUCUCAUGCUGGUUUUUCUGCCUCCUGUUGGCCAGAUGUCUUUCUUUUGUCUUAAAAACCUGAGCAGAAGAAAAGCACCAGUUAAGAAGUGGCUGACAGAGUUUGUCUACGGUCACGUCUCAUGAGACGAAACUGAUAUUACAUGAAGGGAGAGGUGAGCUGCUCCACCUGCCAGGGAUGUGGGGUCCCACUGGUAUAGGCUCUUCAGACCCACCAAACACAUCUUUUCCCAGCUCCAUGCUCAGCGACAUCACACUGGUAGCCACAGUGGGAGUAUUUACAUCACUGAAACUGACAAACACUGCAAAUGAGGUUUUUAAUUUUACUUUUUACUUGUUUAUUAUUAUUAUUAUUUGUGACCUGGUUUGCCAGCACACUAAUGGUAGAGAGAAGUCACAGACCACAGUGGAAGCAGGGAGACCAAUAAAAGUGCAGCAGAGAGGCAAGUGAUAGUGGUGACUGACCUAGGUACGGGGUAGGGGGUGGGCAUUUAAAUUGGUAGACUGAAUAAAGAAGAUGCCCUCAUCAAUAUGGGUGGGCGUUGUCCAAUCCGUUGAAGAUCUGAGUAGAACAAAAACGGUAGAGGAUGGGCUAAUUCGCUCUCUCUGCUUGAGCUGAGACAUCCAUCUUCUGUCCUUGAAAAUCAACAGUCCUGGUUCUAGGGCCUUGGGCCUCAGACUGGGGCUUAAACUACUGGGUUCCUUGGUUCUCAGGAUUUCAGGCUUGGACUAGAACCACACCACCAUCUUUCCUGGACUCCAGCUAGCAGAUGGCAGAUUGUGCAACUUCUCAGCCUCCAUAAUCAUGUGGGACAAUCCUCAUCAUAAAUCUCUUUCCAUAUUUCUGCUGGCACCUUCAUGUUGGACUGCCCAGCCUCUAGAACUGUGAGAAACAAAUUUCUGUUGUUUAUAAGCCAUCUAGUCUUUGUUAUAGCAGCCAGACAGACUGAGACAAUUGCAUUUACUAAUUAUUAUGCAAUUAACCAGAAAAAAAUUUUGUUUCAAUAGAGGGAGCUGAAAAUACUUCUAAAAGUUUUAACACCAAAUUCCUGCUUUGCUAGCUCCUGAGCAUAAGAUAAGUAAAGAAUCUGUCAUAUAUCUGAGUCAUCAUUUUUUGUAUCAGUUUUCUUAGAAAUAAGACUCUUAGUCUGACUGCUCUCUAGGACAUCCACUAGAAAUGCUUUUUUUGCCAUUUGUUGAAUUGUUUACUGGAUUUAUGAUGCUUUAUAUUAUUUAAAGCUUUCUUACAAAAAAUAAAAAGUAAAUACUAUUAAAUAAUGGCCUAAGAUAAUCACAGUUUUAGUAUAGAAAGCACCAAUAUCUAUGGGCGCACAAGAUGUUUACUGUCAUGAAUCUUGUGUUUGUAGAAGAUUUCUCCAUAACAAAUUGAAUGAUUUCAUGGAGAAAAAAUACUUGAUGGCGAUAAAACCUAUUUUUGGGAAAACUCCAAAUCUAUAAAAUCAUUUAUAUAAAAGGUGGACAGCCUUAAUACUUUACUAGAAAGGAUAAAUGGCUAAGAUUUAGUGAUCCAAGAAUCAAUUCUAAAUCAAGAAGUUAAAUCAAAUUCCAAAUAAUGUGGCCAAUAUAGGCCCAGUGCAGCUUUCUCCAUUACAUCAGAGUCAAAAAUUCCAGACUUUCAGUAGGCAGAGCAGGGUUUGACGCUUUGGGCAUAUUACUUAGUUUUACUAAUGCUUCACUUUUCUUGACCAACAUGAGGCCAUGUGUGUGAGAAAACCUUUGGAAAAUCCAAUGUUGUAUGCAGGUGGUGGUGAGGGUGCUCAUUACCAUUUGUCACAAAGCAAUCUUUUCUUCAUCUAGAGGAAGAUGAACUCCAUAAAGUAUUGAGUGUUCCUAGAAUGCGAUCCUGCAAGGCAGCAAGAAAACAGAUGUAUGAAGUGUUCUGCAAAUUUUAGGGAAGAGUCUAAGGGAAGCACUCACUCUGCCAUGAUGCUGAUGUGACUCUGUCAACUGUCUGGGUUUUUCUGAUGGAUCAGUACAAAGCGUGCAGCUACAAUACUUCUUGAGAUGCACGGCACGUUCCGCAUGAAAGAGAAGGAUUUUCUAUUCCACAGCUUUUGAAAAUGCGACCAUUCC